rnacentral:rRNA from 1 species
CCUGAUCCAGCCAUGCCGCGUGCAGGAAGAAGGCCUUCUGGGUUGUAAACUGCUUUUGCCAGGGGAUAAAAAUACCUUGCGAGGUAAAUUGAAGGUACCUGGUGAAUAAGCCACGGCUAACUACGUGCCAGCAGCCGCGGUAAUACGUAGGUGGCAAGCGUUGUCCGGAUUUAUUGGGUUUAAAGGGUGCGUAGGCGGCCCUGUAAGUCAGUGCUGAAAUAUCCCAGCUUAACUGGGAGGGUGGCAUUGAUACUGCGGGGCUAGAGUACAGAUGAGGUAGGCGGAAUUGACGGUGUAGCGGUGAAAUGCUUAGAUAUCGUCAAGAACACCUAUAGCGAAGGCAGCUUACUAGGCUGUAACUGACGCUGAGGCACGAAAGUGUGGGGAUCAAACAGGAUUAGAUACCCUGGUAGUCCACACUGUAAACGUUGAUUACUCGCUGUGUGCGAUAUACAGUACGCGGCCAAGCGAAAGCGCUAAGUAAUCCACCUGGGGAGUACGCCGGCAACGGUGAAACUC